CCUACGGGAGGCAGCAGUGGGGGAUAUUGCACAAUGGGGGAAACCCUGAUGCAGCGACGCCGCGUGGGUGAAGAAGCGCCUCGGCGCGUAAAGCCCUGUCAGCAGGGGAGAAAAUGAAGGUACCUGAAGAAGAAGCCGCGGCUAACUACGUGCCAGCAGCCGCGGUAAUACGGAGGGGGCAAGCGUUAGCCGGAUUUACUGGGUGUAAAGGGGGCGCAGACGGCGAUGCAAGCCAGGAGUGAAAGGCCGGGGCCCAACCCCGGGACUGCUCUUGGAACUGCGUGGCUAGAGUGCAGGAGGGGCAGGCGGAAUUCCUGGUGUAGCAGUGAAAUGCGUAGAUAUCAGGAGGAACACCGGUGGCGAAGGCGGCCUGCUGGACUGCAACUGACGUUGAGGCCCGAAAGCGUGGGGAGCAAACAGGAUUAGAUACCCCAGUAGUC
rnacentral:rRNA from 1 species